rnacentral:rRNA from 1 species
ACGCGAAAUCUCCCUUCGGGGAGAAAGUAGAGUGGCGCACGGGUGAGUAACACGUAGGUAAUUUGCCUUCGGGUGGGGAAUAACAGCCGGAAACGGCUGCUAAUACCGCAUAAUGCAGCGGCUCGACAUCGAGACAGUUGUUAAAGCGGGGGAUUCGCAAGAACCUCGCGCCUGAAGAGAAGCCUGCGGCAGAUUAGCUAGUUGGUAAGGUAAUGGCUUACCAAGGCGACGAUCUGUAACCGGCCUGAGAGGGCGGUCGGUCACACUGACACUGACAUACGGGUCAGACUCCUACGGGAGGCAGCAGUCGGGAAUUUUGGGCAAUGGGCGAAAGCCUGACCCAGCAACGCCGCGUGAAGGAUGAAAUCCCUCGGGAUGUAAACUUCGUAAGAACAGGAAGAAUAAGUAGGGGACAAUACCCCCUAUGAUGACGGUACUGUUUGUAAGCUCCGGCUAACUCCGUGCCAGCAGCCGCGGUAAUACGGGGGGAGCAAGCGUUGUUCGGAUUUACUGGGCGUAAAGGGCGCGUAGGCGGCCACGACAAGUCACUUGUGAAAUCUCCGGGCUUAACCCGGAACGGUCAAGUGAUACUGUCGGGCUAGAGUGCAGAAGGGGCAACUGGAAUUCUCGGUGUAGCGGUGAAAUGCGUAGAUAUCGAGAGGAACACCUGCGGCGAAGGCGGGUUGCUGGGCUGACACUGACGCUGAGGCGCGAAAGC